rnacentral:rRNA from 1 species
CCUACGGGAGGCAGCAGUGGGGAAUCUUGCGCAAUGGGCGAAAGCCUGACGCAGCAACGCCGCGUGCGGGAAGAAGGCUUUCGGGCUGUAAACCGCUUUCAGCAGGAACGAAAAUGACGGUACCUGCAGAAGAAGGAGCGGCCAACUAUGUGCCAGCAGCCGCGGUGAUACAUAGGCUUCAAGCGUUGUCCGGAUUUAUUGGGCGUAAAGAGUUCGUAGGCGGUCGAGUAAGUCGGGUGUGAAAAUUCUGGGCUCAACCCAGAGACGCCACCCGAUACUGCUUGACUUGAGUUCGAUAGGGGAGUGGGGAAUUCCUAGUGUAGCGGUAAAAUGCGCAGAUAUUAGGAGGAACACCGGUGGCGAAGGCGCCACUCUGGAUCGAUACUGACGCUGAGGAACGAAAGCAUGGGUAGCAAACAGGAUUAGAUACCCUGGUAGUCCAUGCCGUAAACGGUGGGCACUAGGUGUGGGUUUCUAUUAACGAAAUCCGCGCCGUCGCUAACGCAUUAAGUGCCCCGCCUGGGGAGGUACGGUCGCAGACUAAACUACAAGAAGUAGACGGCGNGAGACGUGCCGAACGGACGACGACGAGGGAGGUAGG